CCCCCCCCCCCCCCCCCAGGCUGCUGUUGCUGCUGCCCUUGUGGGGUGGGACCUGCCUGGCCCCAGAUGAGCUGAGGUUCAGGGCAGGGCCUGGGACAUUUCCUAACCCCAGCCUGGCCUGCCUUUGGGGCAGCAGAGGGAAGACGGCCUACGUUGGCGCCCAGCGAGGCCUCCUCCCUCUUCCCUUGCCCCCUUGCCGCUCCUUCCACAGUGACCUGUUUGUCCUGCUUGGCCUGGGUUCGGGGCUCUCCCGAGAGUGCCGAGGAGCUUGAAGAAUUCCAGCCCUUUGGCAGCGAGGAACAUUGCUCCUUUGUCCCAGAGCCCCCGCUUGGCAGUUCCCCAAGGAGCCUGCAUGGGCUGCCCUCCGGAAGGUUGCAGCAGGGCAGCCCUGGUGCCCGCCAGGAGCCUUCCGAUUCCCCAGGCCGACCUGCCCUUUGGAGACUCCACGUUCGCUUGCCCGGGAUCCCGUCCUUUUCUCCUCAGUCAGUGUGGGAAGCUUUCCUUCUGGGCCGAGAAACCGAGAUCUGCCAAGACUCCUUGGCAGGUUGUGCCAGGCCGAUUUGAACACGGUGCCUGUGAUUCCAAGCAUCAGCCUUUGGGGGUUCUGCCUCAACUUUUGAAGAAAUGUCUGUCACUUAUGAUGAUUCUGUUGGUGUAGAAGUCUCCAGCGAUAGCUUCUGGGAGGUGAGGCUCUCCUUCUCUCUGCUGUGGCUCACAUGUCCUCUGAGUUCCUUUUCUUAUCCACGCUUGGUCAAGGGAACUGUACUCAAUGUAUUCUUGGCCACAUUCUGAAUUUCACCCCGAGAGACUGGCUGUUGUGGCAUGUGUUCUGAUUCUGGGCAGGGUUCUUGUUCUCCAGACUGACGUUUGGCAUUCCCAGCAGUGGAACUUGAGCUGACCCUGGAAGCUGGGAGAAUUUGUUGGAAACUGGAGCAGGGUGGAGGACGAGAAGAGGGUUCUUCCUCUGUCCUGGGGGAGCAGCAGGAGCAGAAGUCGGGAUGGGGCCGGGGGAGGAAUGCCUGGGAGAGAUUGGCCUGCUCAGAGCUGGGCCUGGGCUGCCGAGGAAGGGGGUGGCUUUGUUUGGGUUGGCCCCCGACGGACCCAGGAGCUGUGAGAGUGUGUCACUGGCUUCCCAUCCCUUUCAUGGGAUCCUGGGCUUCGGUUGGCACGUGUAGGCACAUGUACAGGGAACUCGGGAGCAGGGCUGUGCCUGCUAGUCAAUAGAGCUUGGCCUUGGGGUUCCUCCCGUGAGCUCUCAGCUCGGAGGCCUCCUGCCUCCUUUUGGGGGGCUCACAAAUAGAUAACGGCUGGGACUAUUUGUAAGUUCUCUGUGGUCCUGGGGCCUCACUGUCCCUGCCUCUGCCCAUUUCCCCCCUUACCAUCCACCUGAAAUCAGGCCUGCGCAUGGGCUAGGCAGUGGGUGAAGUGACUUGGCCAGGGUCACUCAGCUAGGAGGUGGCUGAGGCCAGGUCGGAUCCGGGACCUCCCAUCUCUGGGCCUGGGUCCUGUGGUCUCUCCUUUGGGAUUAAAUUUGUGGCUAAAGAAUGCUCAGGCCCAUUUCAGGGCCUCCCUACAUUGCCGCAGUGUUGCCUGGCUGGUCUCCUGCCUCGCCU
ensembl:lncRNA